CUUCAGUGCUGGCCGGGUCAUUCUACUUUUGCGACUGAUGCUUCCUGUGCUGUUUUUUGUUUGUUUGUUCCAUGCUUCUUUGUUAACAUCCAUCCAUUUUCUACCGCUUAUUCCCUUUGGGGUCGCGGGGAGCGCUGGUGCCUGUCUCAGCUACAAUCGGGCGGAAGACGGUGUUCACCCUGGACACCUCAACGCAGGGCUGCGGGUUAACAAAAGUCUGUUUCAUGAAGAAACCUGAUUGCCCUCUCAACGGAAGGUGCCUACAGACAUCAGUCGUUUACCAAGCAAAGAAGAGCCACUUGCAAAGAGGAGUUUUGAUGCUCUUUGAGGAAAGAAGGUAAGUCCUUUUCUUCAUCGAGGUUUUCAAAACCAGUCCACAAAAACAUGCUCAAGAUA